GGGCAAGUGGCGGAAUGGCAGACGCAGUGGACUUAAAAUCCACCGGUAGAGAUACCGUGAGGGUUCGACUCCCUCCUCGCCCA
rnacentral:tRNA from 1 species